AAUUUUCCUAAUAUUUCAGCUAAUCAUUUUUCAACACCGAACUACAUCCUGGACCUCAGAUUCUUUAAAAGACACUUGGACAAAUUUUCACCAAGAUGGUCGUCGAUGACAUCUCGAUAUUCAAAAUUUAUUCUGACGAAGAUAGCACAGUGUUACGUUACAGAACGCUCACAAAGAGGGUGAUAGGUCGGCUACGAAUCGUUAAGGGACAAAAGGACACAGACGUGCUUUGUGAAACAAUAUCCAGACCACUGAAACGAUACAACAACAUCAUGAUUUGAAAAAAGACCACGGGCUAAGCAGUAUUCAUGGGAAAAUUGAAACCGAGGAUUCUAAUCAAAUGGAAAACUGAUCGUCCAUUGCUGACCCAUCCUAUUCGACGCGGAAAAGAGGUUCACGAGUACCAGCGGACUAGGUGGUCCAGGAUUUUCCUGCUCUGCAACUGACCGCGAAUAAAAUAAAAAGCAUCGAGUGCGUGCUAACCCGCACAACUCGACUAAAUCUACUAGCGGAUGGUAAAGCGGAUCGUCCGAGACGAGGCGAAGAAGCGUUUUUUAUCAUUCUUCGAAAGCGUCUGUUUGUCAAAAUCUCCGUAACUGUCCGACGCAAGAACGGAAGCACUUCAACAAAGGAAAGGCUGAGAUUUUAUUUUAAAACGAGAAAACAUUUCAACCCUCGAUGGAGACACGAUGCUUGUCAAAUUGAAUAACUCUUCAUUUUAUUUUCCAAGAAGAAAUGAAAACUAUUGGACGAAUUCUAGAUAAAAUCGUCCUAAGAAUGAAGGCAGUCCUAAAAAAUUCUCACGCGAUUAAAAGAUGCAAUCUGGUUGAGCUAAUUCCUCGGUACAGAUUAAAGGAAAACGAUGAGGAGCAAGGCUUUUAACUCGUUUCACGCGAGCAGAAAAGCGGCUCUUUGUCGUCGUGUUCCCUCUAAGCACAUAGCGAGAUCAACAACUGAAUCCUCGAGCUGGAUCAUCUCUUAAAGCAGUCAUUUAAGUACGUGCUGUAAACAACCCCCCAACUUGCACGCUCCUCUUACGAGCCAUUUCCAGCGAUUCACCACUGCACUGCUUCUGCGACCGAAUUUUCUCUCAGAGAUAGCUGUACACUUUCACCGUGAUGCGUCUUCGUUUGUAGUUUGCUCGUUCGUUUCGAGUCUUGUUUUUGAAGUUAUACACAGCUUUCAACACGUUCCGAGUGUACUUGUAAUAUGUUUUGAUGAGCCCAGAGGGGAUUUGUAAUAAAUGAUAUCACAUUUUGCUGUAAUGUCUUACAAGGAAACAUAUCGAAGUGAAAAUAAGAGACAUGUACUUUUUUUAUAACUGCCCAGUCGCAACUUUAGGGGGUGAAAUCACUCCUUAAAGUUUCAGUAGAAAAAUGGAAUCUCGGAAAUUAUUGCAGAUAUAAGAAAAUAUCUUAGGGAAAAGUUUCAUGGUUUCUUAUGGCAAUAAGAAAUUUUGUGUUACAAACAAAUUACUUUUUACAAAAUCUGUGACCACUUUUUGUUUUACCUCAAGAAACCACGAAAUCUUUCCCUAAGAGAUUUUCUUAUAUCUGUGAUAGUUUUCGAGGUACCAUUCUUUUGCUCAAACUUUAAGGGGUGAUUUCAUCCCCUAAACUUGCAACUGGGCAGCUAUAAAAAAAUACGUGUCCCUUAUUUUUCGAUAUGUUUUCUUGUUAGAUGCAAAGGUAGACGAAAUGGGAAUGGAUGCUAAUUUAAUUGGUCGUAAAUCAUAGAAAAGUUUCGCAAUUGACGCGGACUGAAAGCGGAUGAAGAAGGUUGGCGUGGCGCAUCGUCGUACCGGUGCAGGCGUGGUCCUUUCACCGUUCGGGGGUGUGCGAUCGGUUCCCAGAAGAAUCUGCUUACCAGGCGUGCUGUGCCAGCUCUUUGCUACCAAGGUCAUUUCGUCACUGAUGAGACCGAUUCCCUUCUCACGUGCGCACCUCGAGUGUUCGCCUCUCGAUUGCACUCCAGAUAGAACUGGAAAGGCCGCUUCCUCUGUCUUCACGGAUUAACGCUUCGAGACAACUGCAGAUUUUACAUCGAUUUUCUUUUGGGAACCACUUCAAGGGCUAAACUCGGUGCCCUUCGUUGCAUAAAUGAAAAUUUUCUAAAAAGGAAAUUGGAAUCUCUUGAAUUCUUUAGCUACGCUUUACGUUAAAUUAAAAUUCCUUAGUUUCUUUAUAUUCAGACUGGUGAAAGUACUUCGAAAUUUCAACACGGCAAUCAUCGAACCAGGCUAUAAAUUAAUAUUCAAUUAGCGACAUGCAAAGAAGGCGAUCCGAACCAUCUGCAUCGGGAAUUGCCGUGAUGGAAUCGGACGAUUAAUAGUCAGUUUACCGAUCUGUCUUCGAUGAGAUGAAACGUGACGAUAAAAUUAGGAAUUUAUGCAGUCUUCGUGAAGUGGACGAAAGGUUUCGAUGGGACACAGUAGCUCGUCCAUCUGCGUGUCGAAGCUGUAUCAUUCUGGCCGAAGGAGAUACGAGUGUUCAUACAUAAUUUAGCGUUUCGCUCGACUACCGAUUACGUUUCUCCUUUAUGGUCAAACAAGUCGUCCGUGUAACGGUGAUUUAUGGACGGAAACGCUACUGUCUCUACGUUUCGAUGAAAAUUAGCAAACCACAAAAGUAUUUUUUAAAUCCAUCAAUUGUAUAAUAAAAUUCUUCAAAUAAAUUUCUAAGUUGCUAAUAUAAA